GGGGGUCUCCAAAAGCUUGACUUAAGGGAGCUUCACCACAAGUUUUUGAAGCACCAUUUUUUAUUAAGACAGUAGAAAACUUUGUGGAGGCAAAAGCCCAAGGUGUAGUGGAUCAGGAGGGAUGAUGGAAAUAUUGGAUUCUUUCAUUAAUUCAUCUUGAUUCGGAGGUUUGCCAACUACAUCAGGCAGCUAAGGGAGAGUGAUGGGAGAUGGGUGGAUGAUAGGGAGGAGGUCAGGGAGCAGAUCUUCCAGUUUUUCAGAUCACGAUGGAUGGUGCCUUUGGGUGAGGAUUCAUCCUUCUGGGGGUCCCAGCCUGUGAUCCAUGUUGGGUAUAAAAUACCCUCCAGCCGAAGUUCGUGCCAGGAGUGACCCUCCCGGGACUCUGCCGGUGCCCAACCUUGGACGGCAUGUUUUCGAACCUC
rnacentral:lncRNA from 1 species